GACGAACGCUGGCGGCGUGCCUAAUACAUGCAAGUCGAGCGAACGGACGAGAAGCUUGCUUCUCUGAUGUUAGCGGCGGACGGGUGAGUAACACGUGGAUAACCUACCUAUAAGACUGGGAUAACUUCGGGAAACCGUAGCUAAUACCGGAUAAUAUUUUGAACCGCAUGGUUCAAAAGUGAAAGACGGUCUUGCUGUAACUUAUCGAUGGAUCCGCGCUGCAUUAGGUGGUUGGUAAGGUAAAGGCUUACCAAGGCAAGGAUGCAUAGCCGACCUGAGAGGGUGAUCGGCCACCCGGGAGCUGGGACGCGGUCCAGGGUCCUACGGGAGGCAGCAGUAGGGAAUCUUCCGCAAUGGGCGAAAGCCUGACGGAGCAACGCCGCGUGAGUGAUGAAGGUCUUCGGAUCGUAAAACUCUGUUAUUAGUGAAGAACAUAUGUGUAAGUAACUGUGCACAUCUUGACGGUACCUAAUCAGAAAGCCACGGCUAACUACGUG
rnacentral:rRNA from 1 species